AACGGGUGUGCGUGCGCUGGGCGCGGGAGCCGCCGGUAACAGGAGCCGCCGGAGCCCGGCGAGGAGCUGACUCUGUCUUUUCGGCUCUGCCCCGUGUAUAUUUAUCUGGGUCUCAGCACACCUUAAAGAGGUCACCUGAGCUCCUGCCUGAGUCUCGAAGAGUGAGGACUGAGAUCUGAGGGUGAAGCACCUCAUGAACCUGCUGCAGAGCUGAGAGCAAAUAAGUGUGUAAGUCUGCAAUACCAUGGAUGGCUGUCCCAGUGCUCCCAGCCUUCAGCACACCUCCCAUCCCAGUGCUCCCAUCUUGCCUCUCCAGGAAGCUGAUGGAUACUGCAGGAUUUCUAAAAACGAGCAGCUGCCAAGACACCAUCAGUCCCUGCUGGAAUUGUGGUUACCUCCUUGCCCAGGUGAUGCAGAAGCUUCGGAUGUUUCCCAUGCAGGGCCAUCAGAAGGGAUCUCAGGACAUCAGCCAGGGAAGACCAUCAAUGCCAGGGGCAAAUGAGGCUGAGAACCGAGACUGUUGAGUGUCCAGCUAAUCAUCAGGAGGGGAGAGCUGGCAGGGUACAACAGCUCUUCAGCAGGGGCUCCUGCUUCCACGGCUCCAGGUGGAGUGGGCAGGGCUGCAGCUGAGGGCAGGUUACAUCCCCGGACACUGGGCACAUCAGCACGUUCUACUGGUUCAAAUGCAGAGGAGCUCAGUUGAGAAAAUGUGAAAUGAAGCCUGUUACUGGUCUAAACUCAGCUCUGAAAAUGAAAGUAACCACUUCUACAAGUUUAAAACCGGUGCCAUGUAGCAGCUCGACUCUUACCCAGAAGGACACUGGGUGUAUUCCUGGUGGGCUCUCAAAGGCUGGGACAUCUGGAAGGAGCAGCGCAGCAACAUCGAGAUGCUUCUGCUGCCACCCAAACCCCACUGGGGGAUCUCCCGGGCUGUGGAGGAUGAUAGCUAGCCGGAGAAAUCCAUUCUGGGGCUCUUUGGGAUCGAUAAGCAGUUAAGGGAGCGGCGGGAAGAUGACAUUGCCUGUCUUUGUGCGCACACACCGCGGAGGGGCCGGGCUGGUAAAGGGCAGCGCUUGGGCUCCGAGCCAUUGGCUUUAGAAUGUGGUGGUUCCUGCUGGAAUUUUGGACAUGUGGUGAGGGAAGAGCCAGUGGGACUGCAAUAGGAGCUGGACCAAGCUGCUGCCCCUCCAGCCCCAAACCCAACUGAGAUUCAGAACAGACCAGGAAAAACCAAAUUGUGAAGCAAACACUGUUGUGAUUCUGCUUAGUGACAUGGGGGGUUCCACCUGGCAUUGCUCCCCUUAGGCACACACACCUUCCUCACUCCAGUAAUGCAGGAUGCUGGAGUCUGUGGGUGAGACCAAACCCCCACCAGCCUCAGGAAGAGUUAGAAAACCCUUCUAUCCUCUGAACUAAGUCUUUUUGGAAAGAGGAAAUUUCUUGCUGAUGGUUCUGGAGCAGAUGCACCCAGUGGCACGGUUUGCCAGCAAACACUUGGGAAGCUCUAGGGUCAAGUCAUGGUGUAAAAGGUGAUAUAUUACAUUUCCUUUAGUGAACAUGUGAAAAAAUGGCCCAGCUCACAAUCAGUUUGGCAGGACAGAGGGAUGUGAGGCUCACCAGAGCCGUUAUUUCCAGUGGCUGAUCUGCUCGGCCUUGUUUGAUCCAUCGUCCUUGAGCCAAUCUGCUGAAGUGGCACUGAGUGCACCCCAAUGCAAAGCACAGGCUCACAAACCUGGGGCUGGAUGAGGCACCUGGUGCACCAAGGCACCACCACCUUCUGCCUCAAGGUUUUCCAGCAGAAAAAACAAAUCCCUGAGCUUGGAAGCAUUGCAUGGACACGUGAGCUGGGGGAGGGAUGGCAGCUUUCUCCCUGCCCUUGGCCACACCAUCAGAGUGCUGUGGGCACUGAAAAGCCUGGGCAGGGGUCUUGCUGAGCUCUGCAGCUGUGCAGGAAUUGCUCUCCAAAUUCGAGAUGUUCUCUGUAUUUAUUUUUCCGUCUGGGUCCGUUUGCUGACAGCCAACAACCCGUGGCUUCGGGCAGCCAGUGCCUGCACUACAUAUUUUUGUUCAUCCGUCCCUCCCUGCCAAGAGCUGGAGUCAGACAACUGGCUCCGGCUGGUGCCAGCUCUGGUUGCUCACACAGGGAUUAGCACGUAAACUGCUUUGGUCCCCCUGCAGAGGCCGAGCGUGGCCUUCUCUCUUACCCUCCCGCUGCAGUUGCCUCUGUGAAAGAUGUCUCUGACUUUGCUCCUGACUUUCUGCAAGAGGUUGUUGUAAGAAAAGGAUUUUUCCUGGUUUUUUUUGGGUGUCUCUGCACUGUGGGUGAACGUGGGAGAGCACGAGUGCCUCGUGGUCCGCCGUGUCUCGGGUUGGUCCCGUGCUCGACCCUUGGGCUGGACACCAAGAGGGAUUAAGGGGAAGUGUUGGACCUGGGGAUCUCCAGGAAACCAAGAAGUAAUCUCCUAGUGCUGGGAGACUAAAACAAACCCUCCCUGAGAUGGUGAGCACGACUGGAUUUCUCACUUACAAGCGAGGCUGUUGAGGUUUCUCUGUGCUCACAGCCUUUGCCCAGGACUCCACAAACAGAAAUAAAAUCAGCUGAAAAAAUACAAGAGGCCCUGAGAUGGGAACUGGGCAAAUGAUGAAGGAAGACAGUAAAACCAAUGUAGAGAUCCUGGGCCACCUCAUCAAAUAGCAGGAGCUGGCGUGGGGGUAUUGAUUUCAGCAGAGCUGUGCCAGUUUAUGCAAGUUAGGGCUCUGACC